rnacentral:rRNA from 1 species
UACGUAGGGGGCAAGCGUUGUCCGGAUUUAUUGGGCGUAAAGAGCGUGUAGGCGGUUUGGUAGGUCCGCUGUGAAAACUCGAGGCUCAACCUCGAGACGCCGGUGGAAACCAUCAGACUAGAGUCCGGAAGAGGAGAGUGGAAUUCCUGGUGUAGUGGUGAAAUGCGCAGAUAUCAGGAAGAACACCCGUGGCUAAGGCGGCUCUCUAGUACGGUACUGGACGCUGAGACGCGAAAGCGUGGGGAGCGAACAGG